rnacentral:snRNA from 1 species
GGACUGAUCCAAUUCUCUUGGCGGGGGAGAACUACCCAAUGUAAAGCAUACAACACUGCUCCAUGUGCAUCCCUUCAGAAGCUGUGUGCUUGGUCAAAGAGGAUGGCCUUCCCUGAAUAGAGACUGACCAGUCUUUGGUCGAGGGUGUAUGAGUAACUGUACUCCCUUGCUAGAACCUCCAAACAAGCUCUCAAUACCAAAGGGGAAUUGCUCUAGUUCUAAGCUUAAAGUCACUAGGACUUCUCU